rnacentral:rRNA from 1 species
ACGGCUCAGUAACACGUAGUCAAUCUACCCUAUGGACGGGAAUAACCUCGGGAAACUGAGAAUAAUGCCCGAUAGAACAUUAUGCCUGGAAUGGUUUAUGUUUCAAAUGAUUUAUCGCCAUAGGAUGGGACUGCGGCCUAUCAGUUUGUUGGUGAGGUAAUGGCCCACCAAGACUAUUACAGGUACGGGCUCUGAGAGGAGUAGCCCGGAGAUGGGUACUGAGACACGGACCCAGGCCCUAUGGGGCGCAGCAGGCGAGAAAACUUUGCAAUGUGCGAAAGCACGACAAGGUUAAUCCGAGUGGUUUCUGCUAAAGAAACCUUUUGUCAGUCCUAGAAACACUAACGAAUAAGGGGUGGGCAAGUUCUGGUGUCAGCCGCCGCGGUAAAACCAGCACCUCAAGUGGUCAGGAUGAUUAUUGGGCCUAAAGCAUCCGUAGCCCGUUUUGUAAGUUUUCGGUUAAAUCCAUGCGCUUAACGUAUGGGCUGCCGGGAAUACUGCAUAACUAGGAAGUGGGAGGGGUAGACGGUACUCGGCAGGAAGGGGUAAAAUCCCUUGAUCUAUUGAUGACCACCUGUGGCGAAGGCGGUCUACCAGAACACGUUCGACGGUGAGGGAUGAAAGCUGGGGGAGCAAACCGGAUUAGAUACCCGGGUAGUCCCAGCUGUAAACUAUGCAAACUCAGUGAUGCAUUGGCUUAUGGCCAAUGCAGUGCUGCAGGGAAGCCGUUAAGUUUGCCGCCUGGGAAGUACGUACGCAAGUAUGAAACUUAAAGGAAUUGGCGGGGGAGCAC